GAUGAACGCUGGCGGCGUGCCUAAUACAUGCAAGUCGAGCGAACAGACGAGGAGCUUGCUCCUCUGACGUUAGCGGCGGACGGGUGAGUAACACGUGGAUAACCUACCUAUAAGACUGGGAUAACUUCGGGAAACCGGAGCUAAUACCGGAUAAUAUAUUGAACCGCAUGGUUCAAUAGUGAAAGACGGUUUUGCUGUCACUUAUAGAUGGAUCCGCGCCGCAUUAGCUAGUUGGUAAGGUAACGGCUUACCAAGGCAACGAUGCGUAGCCGACGUGAGAGGCUGAUCGGCGGCCUUGGAGGUGAGACACGGUCAUGACGCCUACGAGAGGCAGCAGUAGGGAAUCGUACGCAAUAGGCGAAAGCAUGACGGAGCAAGGCGGAGUGAGAGAUGAAGGUCUUCGGAGCGGAAAACUCUGUUAUUAGGGAAAAACAAAUGUGGAAGGAAAUGUGCCGGGAGUGACGGUAACGAAUCAGAAAGCACCGGCUAACUACGUG
rnacentral:rRNA from 1 species